UAAGCUCUUCAGCGCCGAUGGUAGUCGGGGGUUUCCCCCUGUGAGAGUAGGACGCCGCCAAGC
rnacentral:rRNA from 1 species